CAAGACAUGAAGUUAGGUUGGCAAACCCG
rnacentral:rRNA from 1 species